CUACGGGUGGCUGCAGUGGGGAAUAUUGCACAAUGAGCGAAAGCUUGAUGCAGCCAUACCGCGUGUGUGAAGAAGGCCUGAGGGUUGUAAAGCACUUUCAAUUGGGAGGAAGGUUCAGUAGUUAAUACCUGCUGGAUUUGACGUUACCUUUAGAAGAAGCACCGGCUAACUCUGUGCCAGCAGCCGCGGUAAUACAGAGGGUGCAAGCGUUAUUAGGAAUUACUGGGCGUAAAGCGCGCGUAGGCGGAUUAGUAAGUCAGUUGUGAAAGCCCUGGGCUCAACCUAGGAACUGCAUCUGAUACUGCUAGUCUAGAGUUUAGUAGAGGGAAGGGGAAUUCCAGGUGUAGCAGUGAAAUGCGUAGAUAUCUGGAGGAACAUCAGUGGCGAAGGCGCCUUCCUGGACUAAAACUGACGCUGAGGUGCGAAAGCGUGGGUAGCGAACGGGAUUAGAUACCCUGGUAGUC
rnacentral:rRNA from 1 species